UACGGAGGGUGCAAGCGUUAAUCGGAAUUACUGGGCGUAAAGCGCACGCAGGUGGCUGAGUCAGUCGAUUGUGAAAGCCCUGGGCUUAACCUGGGAAUUGCAGUCGAUACUACUCAGCUAGAGGAUGGUAGAGGCGAGUGGAAUUCCCGGUGUAGCGGUGAAAUGCGCAGAUAUCGGGAGGAACACCAGUAGCGAAGGCGGGUCUCUGGGCCGAUACUGACGCUGAGGAGCGAAAGCGUGGGGAGCGAACAGG
rnacentral:rRNA from 1 species